GACGAACGCUGGCGGCGUGCUUAACACAUGCAAGUCGAGCGGGGAACUGUGGAAUGAAGCUUCGGCAGAAUGAAACAGUUUCUAGCGGCGGACGGGUGAGUAACGCGUGAGCAAUCUGUCCCAGACAGGGGGAUAACAGAUGGAAACAUCUGCUAAUACCGCAUAAGACCACGAGGUCGCAUGGCCUUGAGGUAAAAGAUUUAUCGGUUUGGGGUGAGCUCGCGUCUGAUUAGCUAGUUGGUGAGGUAACGGCCCACCAAGGCGACGAUCAGGAGCCGACAUGGGAGGGUGAUCGGCCACAUUGGAACUGAGACACGGUCCAGACUCCUACGGGAGGCAGCAGUGGGGAAUAUUGGGCAAUGGGCGCAAGCCUGACCCAGCAACGCCGCGUGAAGGAAGAAGGUUUUCGGAUUGUAAACUUCUGUCCUUGGUGACGAAGGAAGUGACGGUAGCCAAGGAGGAAGCCCCGGCUAACUACGUGCCAGCCGCCGCAGUAACAC
rnacentral:rRNA from 1 species